rnacentral:rRNA from 1 species
GACGGACGCUGGCGGCGUGCUUAACACAUGCAAGUCGAACGAGACGAUUGAAAGCUUGCUUUUGAAAGUCGAGUGGCAAACGGGUGAGUAACGCGUAGACAACCUGCCUUUGAGAUGGGGACAACAGUUCGAAAGGACUGCUAAUACCGAAUGUUGUAUAUUUUCCACAUGGGAGAUAUAUUAAAGAUGGCCUCUAUUUAUAAGCUAUCGCUCAAAGAUGGGUCUGCGUCUGAUUAGCUGGUUGGUGGGGUAACGGCCUACCAAGGCGACGAUCAGUAGCCGGUCUGAGAGGAUGAACGGCCACAUUGGGACUGAGACACGGCCCAGACUCCUACGGGAGGCAGCAGUGGGGAAUCUUCCACAAUGGACGAAAGUCUGAUGGAGCAACGCCGCGUGAGUGAAGAAGGGUUUCGGCUCGUAAAGCUCUGUUGUCGGGGACGAAUGUGCAGUAUUUGAAUAAAGUACUGCAAUGACGGUACCUGACUAGAAAGCCACGGCUAACUACGUGCCAGCCGCCGCCGUAA